AACGAACGCUGGCGGCAGGCCUAACACAUGCAAGUCGAAGGAGAAGCCAUCUUCGGAUGGUGGAAACUGGCGCACGGGUGAGUAACGCGUGGGUAUCUGCCUCGGGGUGGGGAAUAACCGCUGGAAACGGCGGCUAAUACCGCAUACGCCUUCAGAGGGAAAGCUCCGGCGCCCUGAGAGGAGCCCGCGUUAGAUUAGCUAGUUGGUGGGGUAAUGGCCUACCAAGGCGACGAUCUAUAGCUGGUCUGAGAGGAUGAUCAGCCACACUGGGACUGAGACACGGCCCAGACUCCUACGGGAGGCAGCAGUGGGGAAUAUUGGACAAUGGGCGAAAGCCUGAUCCAGCCAUGCCGCGUGAGUGAAGAAGGCCUUAGGGUUGUAAAGCUCUUUCACCUGCGAAGAUGAUGACGGUAGCAGGAGAAGAAGCCCCGGCUAACUCCGUG
rnacentral:rRNA from 1 species